UACGUAGGGGGGCUAGCGUUAUCCGGAAUUACUGGGCGUAAAGGGUGCGUAGGUGGUUUCUUAAGUCAGAGGUGAAAGGCUACGGCUCAACUGUAGUAAGCCUUUGAAACUGGGAAACUUGAGUGCAGGAGAGGAGAGUGGAAUUCCUAGUGUAGCGGUGAAAUGCGUAGAUAUUAGGAGGAACACCAGUUGCGAAGGCGGCUCUCUGGACUGUAACUGACACUGAGGCACGGAAAGCGUGGGGGAGCAAACAGG
rnacentral:rRNA from 1 species